rnacentral:rRNA from 1 species
GACGAACGCUGGCGGCGUGCUUAACACAUGCAAGUCGAACGGAAAGGCCCUGCUUUUGUGGGGUGCUCGAGUGGCGAACGGGUGAGUAACACGUGAGUAACCUGCCCUUGACUUUGGGAUAACUUCAGGAAACUGGGGCUAAUACCGGAUAGGAGCUCCUGCUGCAUGGUGGGGGUUGGAAAGUUUCGGCGGUUGGGGAUGGACUCGCGGCUUAUCAGCUUGUUGGUGGGGUAGUGGCUUACCAAGGCUUUGACGGGUAGCCGGCCUGAGAGGGUGACCGGCAGCAGUGGGCGGAAGAGCCGCCCGGGCCCCCGCGGGGGGGAAGCGGGGGGAAUGAUGGCAGAGGGGGGGGAGGCUGGAGCAAGAACCCCCGGGGGGGGGAUGGCGGCUUGGGGGUGGAAAACCCGUUCCGCCGGCGAAGAGGGGGGGGGAAGGGUAGGGGAAAAAGAAGCCCGGACAAACUCCGUC